UACGGAAGGCAGCAGUGGGGAAUAUUGCACAAUGGGCGCAAGCCUGAUGCAGCCAUGCCGCGUGUAUGAAGAAGGCCUUCGGGUUGUAAAGUACUUUCAGUCGUGAGGAAGGUGUUAAGGUUAAUAACCUUAGCAAUUGACGUUAGCGACAGAAGAAGCACCGGCUAACUCCGUGCCAGCAGCCGCGGUAAUACGAAGGGGCUAGCGUUGCUCGGAAUUACUGGGCGUAAAAGGGCGCGUAGGCGGAUCGUUAAGUCAGAGGUGAAAUCCCAGGGCUCAACCCUGGAACUGCCUUUUGAUACUGGCGAUCUUGAGUAUGAGAGAGGUAUGUGGAACUCCGAGUGUAGAGGUGAAAUUCGUAGAUAUUCGGAAGAACACCAGUGGCGAAAGGCGACAUACUGGCUCAUUUACUGACGCUGAGGCGCGAAAGCGUGGGGAGCAAACAGGAAUUAAGGAUACC
rnacentral:rRNA from 1 species